UACGAAGGGGGCUAGCGUUGCUCGGAAUCACUGGGCGUAAAGGGUGCGUAGGCGGGUUUUUAAGUCAGGGGUGAAAUCCUGGAGCUCAACUCCAGAACUGCCUUUGAUACUGAAGAUCUUGAGUCCGGGAGAGGUGAGUGGAACUGCGAGUGUAGAGGUGAAAUUCGUAGAUAUUCGCAAGAACACCGGUGGCGAAGGCGGCCAUCUGGGAGGGUACUGACGCUCAGACGCGAAAGCGUGGGGAGCAAACAGG
rnacentral:rRNA from 1 species